GUGAACGCUGGCGGUAGGCCUAACCCCUGCCAGUCGAACGGCAGCACCGUAAGAGCUUGCUCUUACGGGUGGCGAGUGGCGGACGGGUGAGGAAUACAUCGGAAUCUACUUUUUCGGGGGGACUACAGUAGGGAAACUUACAUUACUACUACAAACGCCUUCUGGUUGAAGGCGGGGGGUCUUCGUCCCUGGCUGGAUAUAGUGACCCGACGUCGGAUUAGCUAGUUGGCGGGGUAAAGUCCCACCAAGGCGACGAUCCGUAGCUGGUCUGAGAGGAUGAUCAGCCACACUGGAACUGAGACACGGUCCAGACUCCUACGGGAGGCAGCAGUGGGGAAUAUUGGACAAUGGGCGCAAGCCUGAUCCAGCCAUACCGCGUGGGUGAAGAAGGCCUUCGGGUUGUAAAGCCCUUUUGUUGGGAAAGAAAAGCAGCAGGUUAAUACCCCGCUGUUCUGACGGUACCCAAAGAAUAAGCACCGGCUAACUUCGUG
rnacentral:rRNA from 1 species